CGCGGCCUACCAGCAAGUCGAGCGGUACAGAAAUCACUUUGCUGAUUUGCUGACGAGCGGCGGACGGGUGAGUAAUGUCUGGGAAACUGCCUGAUGGAGGGGGAUAACUACUGGAAACGGUAGCUAAUACCGCAUAACGUCUUCAGACCAAAGUGGGGGACCUUCGGGCCUCGUGCCAUCAUAUGUGCCCAGAUGGGAUUAGCUAGUAGGUGGGGUAAAGGCUCACCUAGGCGACGAUCCCUAGCUGGUCUGAGAGGAUGACCACCCACUCUGGAACUGACACACGGUCCAGACUCCUACGGGAGGCAGCAGUGGGGAAUAUUGCACAGUGGGCGCAAGCCUGAUGCACCCGUGCCGCGUGUAUGAAGAAGGCCUUCGGGUUGUAAAGUACUUUCAGCGAGGAGGAAGGUGUUGUGGUUAAUAACCACAGCAUUUGACGUUACUCGCAAAAGAAGCCCCGGCUAACUCCGUGCCAGCAGCCGCGGUAAUACAGAGGGUGCAAGCGUUACUCGGAAUUACUGGGCGUAAAGCGCACGCGGGCGGUUUGUUAACUCAGAUGUGAAAUCCCCGGGCUCAACCUGGGAACUGCUUUUGAAACUGGCACUCUUGACUCUCGUAGAGGGGGGUAGAUCUCCAGGUGUAGCGGAGAAAUGCGUAGAGAUCUGGAGGAAUACCGGUGGCGAAUGCCCGCCCCCCUGGACAAACACUGACUCUCAGGCGCGAAAGCGUGGAGAGCAAACAGGGAUUAUAUACCGUGGUAGUCCACGCCUUAAACGAUGUCGACUUGGAGGUUGCGCCCUUGGAAGCGUGUCUCCCGGGAACUAAACUUUAUUAACUUACACCGUUUGGGAGGAAUUACUCCCCCGCGAUGUAUAACUACUCAUAUCAAUUUGCACGGGGCGG
rnacentral:rRNA from 1 species